rnacentral:lncRNA from 1 species
ACGACGUCAAUGAGCGUUCAUGUGGUGUACAAUAUACAUGGCGACAUCGAUGAUUUUAUUACAUGGAGUUGGGGUUUAGUCUACGCCUCAUCGCAAUAGUAAGACGAAUAACACGAGCAAUGAACUUCCUUCGAUAAGCCAUGCUAUCUCUCUCAAAUCUGCAAGUCAAACCAGAAGUUCAUCGUCACCCUGAGCCCUCCAUGGUCGUAACCUAUCAGCACCUCCAUUGUCCUGACUUUAAUAACCAUCACCAACUACCAAUAAGAGUCCAAAAUCCCGAAGAACAAAAACAAAAAAAAAAUAUCCCAAAAUAGGAUGCUAACCCCGAGCCAUAAGCGCGAACAGAAAAAAAUCCCAAAAUGUAAGAUCAUUAACACUAAUCUACAAAGAACAAAACAAGAACCCAAUUCCAAUUCAUAAACGAAAAACCUCAACCCAUAGAGAAGAAUAAGAAAAUCCUUCCCCAAGUUGCGAUGCACCACUGUGAGUCCCAUGGCCACGAAGACGAAGGUCAUGCCUGCGCUGUCGAAAAACGCCUCUCCUUUCUCG